rnacentral:rRNA from 1 species
GAUGAACGCUGGCGGCGUGCCUAAUACAUGCAAGUCGAGCGAACAGACGAGGAGCUUGCUCCUCUGACGUUAGCGGCGGACGGGUGAGUAACACGUGGAUAACCUACCUAUAAGACUGGGAUAACUUCGGGAAACCGGAGCUAAUACCGGAUAAUAUAUUGAACCGCAUGGUUCAAUAGUGAAAGACGGUUUUGCUGUCACUUAUAGAUGGAUCCGCGCCGCAUUAGCUAGUUGGUAAGGUAACGGCUUACCAAGGCGACGAUGCGUAGCCGACCUGAGAGGGUGAUCGGCCAGCCUGGAACUGAGACACGGCCCAGACUCCUACGGGAGGCCGCAGUAGGGAAUCUUACGCAAUGGGCGAAAGCCUGACGGAGCAACGCCGCGGGAGUGAUGAAGGUCUUCGGAUCGUAAAACUCUGUUAUUAGGGAAGAGCAAAUGUGUAAGUAACUAUGCACGUCUUGACGGUACCUAAUCAGAAAGCCACGGCUAACUACGUG